rnacentral:rRNA from 1 species
GUGGGAAUUUGGACAAUGGGGGCAAGCCUGAUCCAGCCAUUCCGCGUGAGUGAAGAAGGCGUUCGGGUCGUAAAGCUCUUUCGGUAGGAAUGAAACGGCGGGUAUAACAUAGCCCGUAAUGACGGUACAUCCUGAGGAAGCACCGCGUAAAUAUGUGCCAGCACCGGCGCUAAUAUGUAGGGGGCGAGCGUUAAUUGGAAUUACUGGGGGUAAAACGUGCGCGGGGGGGGUGUUAAACAUGAAGUGAAAUCUCCGGGGUUAACCUGGGAAAGGCGUUUUGAAUUGGCAGUGUAGAGUGUGUCAGAGGGGGGUGGAAUUCCACGUGUAGCGGUGAAAUGCGUAGAGAUAUGGAGGAACACACGAUGGCGAAGGCGGGCUCCCUGGGACUGAGAUUGACGCGUUACGUGCGAAAGACGUGUGGUAGCAAACACGGAUUAGAUAUCCCUGGUGUGUCACGCCCUAAAAGAUGUGAGUUUGGUUGUUGGGUGCGUGAAAUCCGUUAGUGACGAAG